UACGUAGGGUGCGAGCGUUAAUCGGAAUUACUGGGCGUAAAGCGUGCGCAGGCGGUUCGCCGUGUCCGAUGUGAAAGCCCCGGGCUUAACCUGGGAAUGGCAUUGGAAACUGGCGGGCUGGAGUGUGGCAGAGGGGGGUGGAAUUCCUGGUGUAGCGGUGAAAUGCGCAGAUAUCAGGAGGAACACCAAUGGCGAAGGCAGCUCGCUGGGACGUGACUGACGCUGAGACGCGAAAGCGUGGGGAGCAAACAGG
rnacentral:rRNA from 1 species